rnacentral:miRNA from 1 species
GACUAUUCUGACACAAUUG